rnacentral:rRNA from 1 species
GAUGAACGCUGGCGGCGUGCCUAAUACAUGCAAGUCGAGCGAAUGGAUUAAGAGCUUGCUCUUAUGAAGUUAGCGGCGGACGGGUGAGUAACACGUGGGUAACCUGCCCAUAAGACUGGGAUAACUCCGGGAAACCGGGGCUAAUACCGGAUAACAUUUUGAACCGCAUGGUUCGAAAUUGAAAGGCGGCUUCGGCUGUCACUUAUGGAUGGACCCGCGUCGCAUUAGCUAGUUGGUGAGGUAACGGCUCACCAAGGCAACGAUGCGUAGCCGACCUGAGGGGGUGAUCGGCCACACUGGGACUGAGACACGGCCCAGACUCAUACGGGAGGCAGCAGUAGGGAAUCUUCCGCAAUGGACGAAAGUCUGACGGAGCAACGCCGCGUGAGUGAUGAAGGCUUUCGGGUCGUAAAACUCUGUUGUUAGGGAAGAACAAGUGCUAGUUGAAUAAGCUGGCACCUUGACGGUACCUAACCAGAAAGCCACGGCUAACUACAUGCCAGCCGCCGCCGUAA